AUGGCCUGGUCCCCGCUCCUCCUCAGCCUCCUCGCUCAGUGCACAGGGUCCUGGGCCCAGUCUGUGCUGACUCAGCCGGCGUCCGUGUCUGGAGCCCUGGGCCAGAGGGUCACCAUCUCCUGCACUGGAAGCAGCUCCAACAUUGGGAGUUAUGGUGUUAACUGGUACCAAC